GUGGGGAAUAUUGGGCAAUGGGGGAAACCCUGACCCAGCGACGCCGCGUGAGGGAAGACGGCCUUCGGGUUGUAAACCUCUUUUGUACGGGAAGAAGGAAGUGACGGUACUGUACGAAUAAGUCCCGGCUAACUACGUGCCAGCAGCCGCGGUAAUACGUAGGGGACGAGCGUUGUCCGGAAUUACUGGGCGUAAAGGGCGCGCAGGCUGUGCUGCAAGUCAGCUGUGAAAUGUCUGGGCUUAACCCGGGCAUGCGGUUGAGACUGCAGUGCUGGAGUGCUGUAGAGGCAAGUGGAAUUCCCAGUGUAGCGGUGAAAUGCGUAGAUAUUGGGAAGAACACCGGUGGCGAAGGCGACUUGCUGGGCAGCAAUUGACGCUGAGGCGCGAAAGCCAGGGGAGCAAACGGGAUUAGAAACCCUAGUAGUCC
rnacentral:rRNA from 1 species